rnacentral:rRNA from 1 species
UACGAAGGGGGCUAGCGUUGCUCGGAAUCACUGGGCGUAAAGCGCACGUAGGCGGAUUCUUAAGUCAGGGGUGAAAUCCUGGAGCUCAACUCCAGAACUGCCUUUGAUACUGAGGGUCUUGAGUUCGGGAGAGGUGAGUGGAACUGCGAGUGUAGAGGUGAAAUUCGUAGAUAUUCGCAAGAACACCAGUGGCGAAGGCGGCUCACUGGCCCGAUACUGACGCUGAGGUGCGAAAGCGUGGGGAGCAAACAG